GACGAACGCUGGCGGCGUGCCUAAUACAUGCCAGUCGAACGCACAGUUUAUACCGUAGCUUGCUCCACCAUAGACUGUGAGUUGCGAACGGGUGAGUAACGCGUAGGUAACCUGCCUGGUAGCGGGGGAUAACUAUUGGAAACGAUAGCUAAUACCGCAUAAUAUUGAUUAUUGCAUGAUAAUUGAUUGAAAGAUGCUAUUGCAUCACUACCAGAUGGACCUGCGUUGUAUUAGCUAGUAGGUGAGGUAACGGCUCACCUAGGCGACGAGACAUAGCCGACCUGAGAGGGUGAUCGGCCACCCUGGGACUGAGACAUGGCCCAGAUCCCUAGGGGAGGCAGCAGUAGGGAAUCUUCGGACAUGGACGAAAGUCUGACCGAGAAACGCCGCGUGAGUGAAGAAGGGUUUCGGAUCGUAAAGAUCUGUUGUAAGAGAAGAAAGGGUGUGAGAGUGGAAAGUUCACACUGUGACGGUAACUUAACAGAAAGGGACGGCUAACUACGUG
rnacentral:rRNA from 1 species